AUGUUUAGGCAGAUUAGAAACAGGAGGGGACUGAUUAGAAACAGGAGGAGACUGAUUAGAAACAGGAGGAGUCAGACUGGAAACAGAAGGAGGCAGAUUAGAAACAGGAGGAGUCAGACUGGAAACAGAAGGAGUCGGAUAAGAAACAGGAGGAGUCAGACUGGAAACAGAAGGAGACAGAUUGCAAACAGGAGGAGACAGAUUAGAAACAGGAGGAGACAGAAAAGGAUUAGAAACAGGAGGAGACAGAUUAGAAACAGGAGGAGACAGACUUUUCUCCUACCAUAUGAAUUGUGUUUUAGUCUCCUGCAUUAUUUUAACAUUCCUACAAACGUCAAAGUGUUUUCUGUCCAAUGCAACCAAUUAUAUGCAUAUCCUGGCUUCUGGGCCUGAGUAACAGACAGUUUACUUUGGGUACGUCAGUCAGGGGGAAAUUCUGAAAAAGGACCCUAGCCCUAAAAUAGCCAAUAUGCUGUGAUAAUGUAUUAGGCCUACUGCCCAAACCUCAUUCCUACCAAACUGUUUGUUUGAGGUUAAGGUAAAAAAAAAAAAAAAAUUGAGCAAUAGAUCUCAGUUUUCUUUUUGACUGAGAAAGUGAUCUUGACUCAGAAAGGGUUGGUGACCACUGGGCUACACUGUUAUCGUAACCUGAUCUAGUGCUGGACUACCACACCACAUGUUAUUGCAUCCCACUUCUGACAUUCAUAUUGUUAUCUUGUUGCUAAAUUUGCAUAUUCAUGUAUUUGCUUUUUGCAUAUUGAUAUUAAUAUGUUUAAUAAUUAUAUUCAUAUUGCAAUUUCUUAAUAUUAUAGCAUUUGAGAACUUAAUUAUGCACUCAUGUACUAUCAUUAUUGCUUGUUGUUAUCAUUUGCUAUCUCUGUCUCCCUGUAGAAAAACAUACCGUACAUUCUACAUUACCCACCAGUUGGCCAAUCCCGACCACAGUCAAUCAGGACAAGAAUUACAUACUAAUGCCAACUGAACUGUCAAUCAUAUCAUCUAACCCAACUGUACUGUGAUUUAAUUCAGCUGAACACCCUUCCAUGUCGUCAUCUGAAUAUAAAGACUCAGGUCAGGACGUUAGUAUAAUGGACGGUUGGUGGAUCGCAUUGAGCCUUGGGCUGAAGUGCUACUGCUAACAUUGCCUGUAUUUUUUUCUAUGAAUGAAGAAAUAAUGUCUAAUUUCUUUACAUUUUGAAGAAUGUUGAUAAACACCUUUACAGAUCUUUGAACUGUCUUCAUCAAUAUCAAAAUGUUUAAGACCUCUUCAUGUUUUGUUAUUUGAUCAUUAGCAAAUAACAACAUGAAUUGUUAUCCUGGACAAAUGUAUGAAUUUGUAUUUUUCACAACUUUAUUUUCUCAUGCCGUUUGUUUGUACAUUUGACCGUUUUGAAAUGACUGAUGAGGAGUUUAUACACACACCAGACAUAACGGGACCCAUGUCAUCCAAAAAGUUGACUCCAGUUUGCCAAAAAAAUCACCUGGAAACACCUGGAUGAUCAUCAAGACUCUUGGAAGAAUGUUCUAUGGACAGAUGAGUCAAAAGUACAACUUCUUGGACCAGGUGCGUCCCAUUAUGUCUGGUGAAAACCAAACACUGCAUUCCACAGUAAGAACCUUACACCAACGGUCAAGCAUGUUGGUGGUAGUGUGAUGGUUUGGGGUCCAGCAUGGUGGUGGUAGUGUGAUGGUAGUGUGAUGGUUUGGGGUCAGCAUGGUGGUGGUAGUGUGAUGGUUUGGGGUCCAGCAUGGUGGUGGUAGUGUGAUGAUUUGGGGUCCAGCAUGGUGGUGGUAGUGUGAUGGUUUGGGNNNNNNNNNNCGGGACCCAUGUCAUCCAAAAAGUUGACUCCAGUUUGCCAAAAAAAUCACCUGGAAACACCUGGAUGAUCAUCAAGACUCUUGGAAGAAUGUUCUAUGGACAGAUGAGUCAAAAGUACAACUUCUUGGACCAGGUGCGUCCCAUUAUGUCUGGUGAAAACCAAACACUGCAUUCCACAGUAAGAACCUUACACCAACGGUCAAGCAUGUUGGUGGUAGUGUGAUGGUUUGGGGUCCAGCAUGGUGGUGGUAGUGUGAUGGUAGUGUGAUGGUUUGGGGUCAGCAUGGUGGUGGUAGUGUGAUGGUUUGGGGUCCAGCAUGGUGGUGGUAGUGUGAUGAUUUGGGGUCCAGCAUGGUGGUGGUAGUGUGAUGGUUUGGG
rnacentral:lncRNA from 13 species